rnacentral:lncRNA from 1 species
UUUUUUUUUUUUUUUAGAUUUUAUUUAUUUAUUCAUGAGAGACACAGAGAGAGAGAGGCAGAGACACAAGCAGAGGGAGAAGCAGGCUACCUGCAAGGAGCCCGAUGUGGGACUCGAUCCCAGGACCCCAGGAUCACAACCUGAGCUGAAGCAGACACUCAACUGCUGAGCCACCCAGGUGCCCUGAGCCCAGCUUUUAAAAACAGGUAUUACUUAAAGUAAUAAUUUCAAUAAAUAUACACAUGUAUUUCAGUGAUAACUCAUAUUUGCAUAAGACUUGGUUGAUAGGGAUCCCUGGGUGGCGCAGCGGUUUAGCACCUGCCUUUGGCAGAGGGCGCGAUCCUGGAGACCUGGGAUCGAAUCCCAAGUCGGGCUCCCAGUGCAUGGAGCCUGCUUCUCCCUCUGCCUAUGUCUCUGCCUCUCUCUCUCUCUCUCUCUCUCUCUCUGUGACUAUCAUAAAUAAAAAUAAAAUAAAUAAAAUAAAAUAAAAUAACUAAAAUAAAAUAAUAAAAUAAAAUAGACUUGGUUGAUAAAUAUACUGAAUCCUAGUAUAAAUUAUGUAAUUUCUAAUAUAUGUAUUACCUCAAUAUUAUUUUCAUUCCACCAGUUAUACUCUGUUAAAAAAGGAAGCUAAAUCCAAAUUGCUACUUAAUUUCUAAGUUAUUUAUUCAACAUUAUUUUCUUUAUACAAGGGUGUAUUCCAGCCCCUAAAUCAUACAGUUCCAAGCAGGGAAUGUGAAUUCACAUUCUACAAACUGGAUUUUCUUUUUUUAAAACACAAGUAUAUUUUACUUGCAGAUAUAUUUCUAGUUUUUAAUGUUUAAUUGAAGAGACUGGGACCUAGAAACACAAUCUGUGGGAAUCUUGGAGCAUUCUGUCCUUUAUUUUCAUUUAUUUUGGAAAUAUGUUUGAUUAUCUAGACUUAUAUAGGAUACUGGGACUCCUACACAGAUUUUAGUCAGAAAUCAUAGUUCCUCUGAGUAUGGUGUUCUGCACAGUCACAGAUGGAACAUUCUAUUUAUUUAUGGUUACCUCACAACCCAAAAGAUAGCCAAGAAAAACAGGGUGAUCAAAUAACUAAAUGGAGGAUGGGACUAAUAUUUGAGAAACGUGCAGAACAAAUAUGCAAUGGGCUUCAGAAAAAUAUAUCUACCAGUUAGAGGAAAUCCAUAAUGGCAGAUAAUGGGACAAGAAUGGGACAGAAUAAAUGAUCAAAUAACAUCACUAUAAAGAAUUGUUAAUAUAAGUAAAUAUAUGAAUAUGUAAAAUUAGUGAUAAUAUGGUUGGUAAAAUUGUCCUCAUAUUUUUCUUUCCUUUUAUGACCUGGGUUUCUGGUCAUAAAAUAGACAGCUGUUCAGUAACCAUGAAAACUAUAUGAUUGCAGAUUUUGAUGGAUUCAGGCAUAUUGAUACUUCCAAUUUUAAAACGACUUUAUGAGUUUUACACAUACCUUUAUAUAUAAAUUAUUUCAAACGACAGUGGUAGAAAUUCAAAUAGAUCCGCACAUUACAUUAACAUGAAUUUAAGAAACAAUCAGUUGUCUAUAGCGAAUUAGAGACUAACAAAAUGCUGAUUUGGAUAUUCAGAUUCAGAGCUUAUGAGGCAGUAGUUCAACAAAAGGAAAAUUUGUGAUAUACUUAAAAUAUUUGUAAAAAUAAAUUUCGAUUAUAUCAUAAAAAGCACAAUUCUAUUAUCUUUAUAGCAGAUGGAAGAGAAUGAUUAUAGAACAUUUGUAGUCUUUACAUGUGGAAUUGUAUUAUUAGUAUGGAUCUGCAUGGAUGUUUAAGCCAUGUUGUUUAAAUUUAAUUUGUGUAAUUCCAAAAUUUUCAUUGGAAAUAAUAGAUAUGGUCCCAAAUGGCAAAGCCCUACAUUUUUUUCAGGUCUUUUCUGUUUUCUUAAAUUAUCUUUCUUUCUCUCUCUCUCUCUCUCUCUCUCUCUUUUUUUUUUUUUUUUUUUUUUCGUGUGUGUGUGUGUGUGUGUGUGGUAGUUAGGGCUACUCUAACAUGUAAGCAUUAUGAAACUCUGCAUGCCACACCAAAAAUUAUAUGACUUAAGCAAUUCAUUUUGCAAUAUACUUAGCUGUUCUAAAGUUCCCUGAGAAAUAAGUUUUUUAAUGAGUUCUCCCAUGUAGGUAUGUGGUCUAAAUCUGUUGAGCAUUAGCUUGGGAAUGUAUUAUUCUUUUCACUAGGAAACAAUGUUGACAGUGAGGGUGGAGAACACAAGUGUAGGGAUGGUUUUACUCUUCAUGUAUGAAAGGAAAAGUCAAUAAAAUAUGCUUAAACCUAAGGUAGUAUGCUAGUGUUAUAAUUUUGUGAAUUAAAAUUUUCUCUUGCUAUUAAAGUUUAAUAAUUUCAUAUUUUUCCUGAAUUUAUUCAGUAUCCUAUACCUUUGUACACAAGGGGAAACUGAAUUGGUCAUUAAUUCUCCAUAAAUAUAAAUUUUAUAGACUAUUUGUUAUUUACAUCACUUCCCAUUCUCUUCCCAUUACACAAAUAAAUGGAAAUUAAGUUAUUAUACCAUUACAUUUCACUAUUAAAGGCAA